rnacentral:rRNA from 1 species
CCUACGGGGGGCAGCAGUGAGGAAUCUUGGUCAAUGGGCGGAAGCCUGAACCAGCCAAGUCGCGUGAGGGAAGACGGUCCUAGGGAUUGUAAACCUCUUUAGGCGGGGAGCAAUGCCGGGCACGCGUGCCCGGAGGGAGAGUACCCGCAGAAUAAGCAUCGGGUAACUCCGUGCCAGCAGCCGCGGUAAUACGGAGGAUGCGAGCGUUAUCCGGUUUUAUUGGGUUUAAAGGGUGCGUAGGCGGAUUUUUAAGUCAGCUGUAAAAUGUCGGGGCAAAACCCGGGGCGGCCGUUGAAACUGGGGAUCUGGGGUGGGCGAGAAGUAUGCGGAAUGCGUGGUGUAGCGGUGAAAGGCAUAGAUAUCACGCAGAACUCCGAGUGCGAAGGCAGCAUACCGGCGCCCGACGGACGCUGAGGCACGAAAGCGUGGGGAUCGAACAGGAUUAGAUACCCUGUAGUC